rnacentral:rRNA from 1 species
UACGUAGGUGGCAAGCGUUGUCCGGAUUUACUGGGCGUAAAGAGCGCGCAGGCGGUCGUUUAAGUCGAAUGUGAAAGCCCCCGGCUCAACUGGGGAGGGUCAUUCGAUACUGAUCGACUCGAAGGCAGGAGAGAGAAGUGGAAUUCCCGGUGUAGUGGUGAAAUGCGUAGAUAUCGGGAGGAACACCAGUGGCGAAGGCGACUUCUUGGCCUGUUCUUGACGCUGAGGCGCGAAAGCUAGGGGAGCAAACAGG